UUCAAUUUAAUCACGUCAUUAUCCACAUCUCUUUUCUUUUGCAUAUCGCAAAUCUCAAUGAAGGUAUUGAGAUGGGAUGCGACAUCUUCACUAGGAAGGCCAGAGAAUUCCUCUUUCAUACCAAGAUUCAGCAAGGCAGCGUUGAUUUCAUAUGAUUCCGCACUAGUGGCGGGAGCAAUCGGAGUACUUAUAAAAUCAUUAUUAUUAGUACCCGAGAAGUCGCAAAGUUUGGUGUUUUCAGCCAUGAUGACUUCAACAAACCAACAAAACACAAGCAAGCAAGAAAAC
rnacentral:lncRNA from 1 species